CCAUUUCCUUCACAUUCAUCUUCUCUUUCCCCAUGUGAGCAACUUGCGUCAUUAAAUCACACCACUGUAUCAUUAAAUCACAGGAGCAAACUGAGGCCCAGGGAGGGGCAUGCCUAAGGUGGCAGGCAAGUUCAUGCAAGACCCUAGAUGGCCCAGCUGCCUGGCCAGCGCGGCCCCUGCAGGCUUGGUGUAGAGGAGGCUGGAGCCACAGGGAGCCAGGGCAGAAGGGCAGCUGGGGCCCGCUCAGGGAGGCAGAGUAGCUGGGAGAACACUCUCUCCUCCCUCCCCACUUCCGGAAGGUGAGGGAGUCCCUGCUGGAACCUGGGCAGGCCUGGGUAGCAGACAGGGGAGCCUGCGGGCCUGUCCAGCAGCCAUGCCCUGGGGGUCCCUGAAGCUGCCUUGCUUCUUGCUCAGAACCCAAUUUCCAGGCACACGAGCGUUCAAACACUGCCCUCGAGGGACUCAGAGAGCGUGGACAUUUCUCAGGGAUCUCAGCGGAAAUGCUGUCAGCAGCAGACCUCAGCGGAGGAGGAGCUCCUCUCCUAGGCUGGGCCAGAGGAGAGGUGGGUGAACUUUAUCUCCAAACCUGGCCGAUCUCGGUGUCAGAGGCCUUCUGGGGGAAGGGCUUAGGGCCCAGGCCCUGCUGCUCAAGGACCCCGGUGGUGAUACUGCGUGGGGGCUUUUGGCCUGGUGGCGGGAAGAUUUCUCCCUGCUGCCCCUCCAUGGGCCCAGCCUCGGUGAGCGCAGCCUGGGGACCAAGCUGGGGACAGAGGCCAUGCUGCACCCCUGGCCCACCCUGGCCCCCACUGCACCCUUCAAACCUUGCCCUCCUUGACACCCACCUCUUUGGGGAACCAGCCUUGGGUUGGCUUCCCACCGGACAACCCCCAAGGCCAGGCCCCAGGCCUCCCCUGCAAGACCCCGGCCUCCCAGGAUCUGUGGGAUCCCCAACACCGUGUGGCCUCCCAUUUCCACAACGGCCCCAAGAGCUCAGUGCUCGGAGGUCACCAGGCACCCCUGCCAGGGGGGCUCCGGCAGCCCCAGUGCCCAGGACGGUCCCUUCCUCCAAAAUAAAUAUUUUUGUUAGA